UGGCACAGGAGGUACUUGGAUUUUCAAGGAAAAGAUGGAAGAACCUGGGAAAUGAAAAUGUCUGCUACUACAAGAGGAAGGAAUACACUGGAAUUGGUGCGAGACUAAAAGAAAAGGAGCAAGAUGUAGAUGAUGCAGUGAAGGAAAUGCCGGCUGACCUUCCAGCGGUACCAUCCACAAUGAGGCUUCACCAGGUGAUUACUCUUUCACCUGGAAAAAUGCUCUACCGCGACAUCAGCUGCAUGUGUUCUGCAAAUGGGAAUCUGGAAUGUAAUUGCCAGAAAACGAAAA